rnacentral:rRNA from 1 species
CUGAUGGAUGGACCCGCGGUGCAUUAGCUAGUUGGUGAGGUAACGGCUCACCAAGGCCACGAUGCAUAGCCGACCUGAGAGGGUGAUCGGCCACAUUGGGACUGAGACACGGCCCAAACUCCUACGGGAGGCAGCAGUAGGGAAUCUUCGGCAAUGGACGAAAGUCUGACCGAGCAACGCCGCGUGAGUGAAGAAGGUUUUCGGAUCGUAAAACUCUGUUGUUAGAGAAGAACAAGGAUGAGAGUAACUGUUCAUCCCUUGACGGUAUCUAACCAGAAAGCCACGGCUAACUACGUGCCAGCAGCCGCGGUAAUACGUAGGUGGCAAGCGUUGUCCGGAUUUAUUGGGCGUAAAGCGAGCGCAGGCGGUUUCUUAAGUCUGAUGUGAAAGCCCCCGGCUCAACCGGGGAGGGUCAUUGGAAACUGGGAGACUUGAGUGCAGAAGAGGAGAGUGGAAUUCCAUGUGUAGCGGUGAAAUGCGUAGAUAUAUGGAGGAACACCAGUGGCGAAGGCGGCUCUCUGGUCUGUAACUGACGCUGAGGCUCGAAAGCGUGGGGAGCAAACAGGAUUAGAUACCCUGGUAGUCCACGCCGUAAACGAUGAGUGCUAAGUGUUGGAGGGUUUCCGCCCUUCAGUGCUGCAGCUAACGCAUUAAGCACUCCGCCUGGGGAGUACGACCGCAAGGUUGAAACUCAAAGGAAUUGACGGGGGCCCGCACAAGCGGUGGAGCAUGUGGUUUAAUUCGAAGCAACGCGAAGAACCUUACCAGGUCUUGACAUCCUUUGACCACUCUAGAGAUAGAGCUUCCCCUUCGGGGGCAAAGUGACAGGUGGUGCAUGGUUGUCGUCAGCUCGUGUCGUGAGAUGUUGGGUUAAGUCCCGCAACGAGCGCAACCCUUAUUGUUAGUUGCCAUCAUUCAGUUGGGCACUCUAGCAAGACUGCCGGUGACAAACCGGAGGAAGGUGGGGAUGACGUCAAAUCAUCAUGCCCCUUAUGACCUGGGCUACACACGUGCUACAAUGGGAAGUACAACGAGUCGCGAAGUCGCGAGGCUAAGCUAAUCUCUUAAAGCUUCUCUCAGUUCGGAUUGUAGGCUGCAACUCGCCUACAUGAAGCCGGAAUCGCUAGUAAUCGCGGAUCAGCACGCCGCGGUGAAUACGUUCCCGGG